AACGAACGCUGGCUGCAUGCCUAACACAUGCAAGUCGAGCGCCGUAGCAAUACGGAGCGGCGCACGGGUGAGUAACGCGUGGGAACCUGCCCAGAGGUUCGGGACAACCGCGGGAAACUGCGGCUGAUACCGGAUGAUACCUGAGGGUCAAAGAUUUAUCGCCUUUGGAGGGGCCCGCGUCAGAUUAGGUAGUUGGUGGGGUAACGGCUCACCAAGCCUGUGAUCUGUAGCUGGUCUGAGAGGAUGACCAGCCACACUGGGACUGAGACACGGCCCAGACUCCUACGGGAGGCAGCAGUGGGGAGUAUUGGACAAUGGGGGCAACCCGGAUCCAGCAAUGCCGCGUGGGUGAUGAAGGCCUUCGGGUUGUAAAGCCCUUUCGGCGGGGACGAUGAUGACGGUACCCGCAGAAGAAGCCCCGGCUAACUUCGUGCCAGCCGCCGCAGUAACAC
rnacentral:rRNA from 1 species